rnacentral:rRNA from 1 species
UAGUGAGUUUGAUCCUGGCUCAGGAUGAACGCUGGCGGUCUGCUUAACACAUGCAAGUCGAACGGUGUCUUCGGACAUAGUGGCGCACGGGUGCGUAACACGUAUGCAACCUACCUUACAUUGGGGGAUAGCCUUUCGAAAGGGAGAUUAAUACCGCAUAAGACAGUAACUUGGCAUCAAGUAGCUGUUAAAGAUUUAUCGAUGUAAGCUGGGCAUGCGUCCAAUUAGCUAGUUGGUGAGGUAACGGCUCACCAAGGCUUUGAUUGGUAGGGAACUGAGAGGUCAAUCCCCACACUGGCACUGAGAUACGGGGCCAGAC